rnacentral:lncRNA from 1 species
AACAACAUUCUCAGCCUGGUUACUCACAACCCCCUAUCCGUCAAACUUUCUGUUCCACAAACACACAAACAUACAACCAAAACAUGCCAUUCACCCAACCCCAAUACCAAGAGCAUACCCCAUACCACCACCAACAAAUUGACCAUCAACCUGAGACCCAACAUCGCUUUGCACCCACACCAUCACCCUACCAAAGUCGCCUUAGCCAAAACACCAAUCGCCCCUCCUCCUACCGUAGCCAAGAAGCCCAAACAUCACAAAACCAAAACAUCCAACAACCCUAUCUCUACCAAACACCCCAACAACCUUUCUAACCUUUCCUCGACGCAUCAUUCACACCCAUGUCUCCCUUCAACCGUCCCGGUCGCCCAUCCAUGAGUCAACCACAUCCCAACUUCUCUGGCAUGGGUCAUGAGCUCAGCUAUAGCGGUACACCAUCAAUGCAUACUAAAGACUAUGCUGACUUGUCUGAAUACCUCAAUGGACCUUCUCCUGUAGUUGG